UCCAACUGCGGUCUCCCAAAUGUUUGGGAUUUCAGUUUCCAGAAUUCCUCACAUCAGUUGCAAGUUCAGGGAAUUCAAAACAUCUGGAAGAUUAAAGUUUGAGAACCAUCAGCCUACCAGAUAUUUGGAAUACUUCAAAUCAUUUCUGCAUUAAAAAAAGUUGCAGUCUCAAGCAGGUGGGCUUCAUGAGCAAGAAAGAAAGAAAGAAAGAGAGAAAGA